rnacentral:lncRNA from 1 species
CUUUCUGUAUUUUAUUUUAUUUUUUGUGAAAAAAAUGAUGAUUAUGCAUUAAAACAAGCACAAGCCAACAAGAAAGUGACUACUGCUAACAAAAAAGCAGAGAUGACAACCUGGAAACAUCCUAUCUUGCCUUCCUAUGCUUUCUUUUGCUAAGCUAUGAGCUAAAUCAUUUUCCUCCCUUGGAACAUCUCUGAGAGUGACUUUACCCUUUAAUGCAAUUGAAAAUAGAUUUGAAUUCAUUCUGCACUCUCCAUGGUCUUCCACUAGAUCUCUUAACAAGCUGAUAGCAUUAGAGGAGUAAGUUUCUAAAAUCCACUCCACUUCCUUUGCCAGCCUACAGAAGAUCAAAGAGUAGAUAUCAUCCCACUAAUUGUACCUCAAAUGAUUAGGAAUAAGCUUUAUUAUGUGUUACUUAUGGUACACUUUUUGGUGUUGUUUUCCAGCUUAGUGUCACUUCUAUGGGAGAGAAAACUCUGUUCGUGAGCUUGACAUGUAGUAAAACAACAGACGCGAUGAUUAGGAUUUGUGAGGCUUUUGAACCUUUGAAGCUGAAAAUUAUCACAGCAAAUAUCACAACUCUCUCAGGGAUGAUCAAGAAGACUGUCUUGAUAGAGGUCAGCAUCUUUUCUUCUUCCUCAUCUCCAUCAUUUCAAUUCAAGUGAAACCAAUGUGUGGUGGAUAACAUACUUCAAGGCUUUUGAACCUUUGAAGCUGAAAAUUAUCACAGCAAAUAUCACAACUCUCUCAGGGAUGAUCAAGAAGACUUUAAGAAAACAAGAAAGAACUUUCCCAUAGAGAGUAAAAUGGGGCCAGUGAUCUUGAGAAUAGAUAGAUAUUGGAUAAAAAAAUAUUGACAUAAAUUGUUCAAAGAAAAUAUUUAAUUACAGCACAAUUGAAAUUCUGCCAAGAAGUUAUAUAUUCAAACUUCGUCAUGGUCAUGAAAGUUGACAGCAAUUUUGUGUCUUGCAGGU